rnacentral:tRNA from 1 species
UCCCUGGUAGCUCAGAUGGUAAAGAAUCUGCCUGCAAUGCAGGAGGCCUGGGUUCAAUCCCUGGAUUGGGAA